GCCAGCAGCCAUAUCGCCCUGUACCUCACAACUAGCAACCCACUGAAGCAAAGCAGGUGUGAGCCAGGUCAGUAGCUGGAUGAGAGACCCCUGGGGAAAGCUAAGGUUGCUGCUGGAA
rnacentral:rRNA from 1 species